UUAAAGUUUUAUUAUAGCUUUUUAUAUAAAUUAUUUUGGGUUAUAUGUAAAUUUUUUAAUUUAAAUAAUAAAAUUAUGCAGUAAAAAAAAUUAAAAAUUAAAGAAAUUUAGAUUUAAUUAUUAAUAUAAGAAUAAACAAAAUUUGUGCCAGCAGUUGCGGUUAUACAUAUUAUUCAAUUUAUAUUUUAAAAAAAUUAAAAUUUAUUUAGUUAAAUUAUUAUUUUUGUAUUAUUAGGUGAAAUUUUAAUAUAAUUUAAUAUUUAUAAUAAUAUUUUAAUAAAUUUAUAAUUUAAACUAGGAUUAGAUACCCUAUUAUUUUAAAUGUAAAUUAUUUUUUAAUUAGUAUUAGUUAUGUUCUUGAAAAUUAAAUAAUUUGGCGGUAUUUUAGUCAAUUCAGAGGAAUCUGUUCUAUAAUUGAUAAUCCACGAAUAAAAUUACUUAUUUUUUGCUUAUAUAUCGUCGUAGUUGAAUAUUUUAGAAAAAUUUAAUAUUCAAAAAUUUUUAUAAUAAAAUAAAUCAGAUCAAGAUAUAGUUUUAAAUAAGUAGAAAUGGAUUACAAUAAAUAUAUUUUUAGUUAAAAAUUUAAAAAGUUUUUAUAAAAUGGAUUUGAUUGUAAUAAAAUUAUAUUAUUUUUAUGAUUUUUGCUCUAAAAUAUGUACAUAUCGCCCGUCACCCUCUAAUAAAUAGAGGUAAGUCGUAACAAAGUAAAUGUACUGGAAAGUGUAUUUGGGAUUCA
rnacentral:ncRNA from 1 species